AUUGAACGCUGCGGCAGGCUUAACACAUGCAAGUCGAGUGAGCGGCGGACGGGUGAGUAAUGCUUAGGAAUCUGCCUAUUAGUGGGGGACAACAUCCCGAUAGGGAUGCUAAUACCGCAUACUAACAGAUGAGCCUAAGUCGGAUUAGCUAGGUGGUGGGGUAAAGGCCUACGAAGGCGACGAUCUGUAGUGGGUCUGAGAGGAUGAUCCGCCACGCUGGAGCUGGGAGACGGCACGGACUCCUGCGGGAAGCAGCAGUGGGGGAUAUUGGACAAUGGGGGAAACGCUGAUCCAGCCAUGCCGCGUGUGUGAGGAAGACAUUAUGGUUGUCAAGCACUUUAAGCGAGGAGGCGUUACUCGCGGAAUAAUCACCGACUAACUCUGUGCCAGCAGCCGCGGUAAUUC
rnacentral:rRNA from 1 species